rnacentral:rRNA from 1 species
UACGUAGGGGGCUAGCGUUGUCCGGAUUUAUUGGGCGUAAAGAGCGUGUAGGCGGCCAGGUAGGUCUGCUGUGAAAACUCGAGGCUCAACCUCGAGAUGUCGGCGGAAACCAUCUGGCUAGAGUCCGGAAGAGGAGAGUGGAAUUCCUGGUGUAGCGGUGAAAUGCGCAGAUAUCAGGAAGAACACCCGUGGCGAAGGCAGGUCUCUGGGCCAUUACUGACGCUGAGGAGCGAAAGCGUGGGGAGCGAACAGG